CCUUCCUCUUCCAGUCAGGAGGGAGCAGCACCUGUCUCCAGCACCCUCUUGGCUCCCAGGCAGCCAUGCUCUCUGUGCCCCAUGAUGUCAGGCCUCAUGGAAUAGUCAAGUCCUCUCCGGCUUUGACUGUGCCUGGAUACUAUUGGCAAAAACCAUAUUGAGUCAUUUUGACAAUGAAACAGGAGGGAUUCUCUUGACUUAGGAAUUCUACUCCUAGGAAUUUAUUCUCUGCACAGAUAUUCAUGGCUUAGAAUGUUCAUCAGAUUCUUGUUUAAAAUAA
rnacentral:lncRNA from 1 species